UACGUAGGGGCCAAGCGUUGUCCGGAUUUAUUGGGCGUAAAGAGCUUGUAGGCGGUCUGUCGCGUCUGCUGUGAAAAUCCGGGGCUCAACCCCGGACUUGCAGUGGGUACGGGCAGACUAGAGUGUGGUAGGGGAGACUGGAAUUCCUGGUGUAGCGGUGAAAUGCGCAGAUAUCAGGAGGAACACCGGUGGCGAAGGCGGCUUUCUGGGCCUUACCUGACGCUGAGGAGCGAAAGCUGGGGGAGCGAACAGG
rnacentral:rRNA from 1 species